UACGUAGGAGGCAAGCGUUGUCCGGAGUUACUGGGCGUAAAGCGCCCGCAGGCGGUCCGCCAAGUUCACUGCGACAGUUACCGGCUUAACCGGUGAAGGACGGUGAACACUGGGGGACUUGAGAGCGAGAGAGGGACAUGGAACUCCAGGUGGAGCGGUGAAAUGCGUAGAGAUCUGGAAGAACACCAAAGGCGAAGGCAGUGUCCUGGCUCGUAUCUGACGCUCAGGGGCGAAAGCUAGGGGAG
rnacentral:rRNA from 1 species